rnacentral:rRNA from 1 species
UACGUAGGGUGCGAGCGUUGUCCGGAAUUAUUGGGCGUAAAGAGCUCGUAGGCGGCCUGUCGCGUCGGUUGUGAAAGCCCGGGGCUUAACCCCGGGUCUGCAGUCGAUACGGGCAGGCUAGAGUUCGGUAGGGGAGAUCGGAAUUCCUGGUGUAGCGGUGAAAUGCGCAGAUAUCAGGAGGAACACCCGUGGCGAAGGCGGCUCUCUGGGACGGUACUGACGCUGAGACGCGAAAGCGUGGGGAGCGAACAGG